UUCUUCUCCUUCGAUCAGAUCGCGUAAGAGCCAAGGGGAGAACAAGUCCUCCGAUCUCCUCCGAUCUCCUCCGAUUCAACCCAUCAACUCAGACGAAUGCUCUUUCUCUCUCUCUUCUCUCUCUCUCUUCUCCGAGACCCAUCGUCUCCUUCGAAGUUCGAAUCGAAGGCUCUUCCUCUGUCUCUUCUCCGAGACUCCGAUCGUCUCCUCCGAGCUCUCUCUCGCUUUGCCGCCUCCCUCGAUCAACUUCUGUGAUUCCUCGUUCUGGGUGGAGAAGUCGAGCUUCAUCACUCAUCAGUCAUCACCAUAGGUUCGUCCUCGAGCUCUCUCUCAGCCAUUAAGCUUCAUCAGUCUUCGUCCUCGACCAAACCCAUCAGCCAUUAAGGGAUUGAUUGUGUUGGAACUGUUCUUUCUUCUCUCGUUACCUUUGCUUAUCUCGUGAAGUAAACUCAAGCCUAGAAAAAGUAUGUUAUAAAUGUCACAGGUACAGUAGAAGAUGUUGAUGAUAUGUGCAACGAAGAUGCUAGGAAGAAUACAACUACUUCUGGAGUCGAGGGUUCAAGAUCAGAAGAUUCAAAUGUGCGUUGAACAGAAGUCGAGAUGAUCAGUCUCAAGAGGUUUCUGUCAUCCUUUGUUUCUUUGUUUGUACUUUGUACUAGAGAUCAUCUCAAAAACUGUGUUCUUUGCUUCCUAUUGUUUGUUUAAAACCCAUCUCAAAAGUUUUUAUUAAUCAUUGAUUCAUUUCUGAA